UACGUAGGGUCCGAGCGUUGUCCGGAAUUACUGGGCGUAAAGAGCUCGUAGGUGGUUUGUCGCGUUGUUCGUGAAAACUCACAGCUCAACUGUGGGCGUGCGGGCGAUACGGGCAGACUUGAGUACUGCAGGGGAGACUGGAAUUCCUGGUGUAGCGGUGGAAUGCGCAGAUAUCAGGAGGAACACCGGUGGCGAAGGCGGGUUGCUGGGCUGAUACUGACGCUGAGGCGCGAAAGCCAGGGGAGCAAACGGG
rnacentral:rRNA from 1 species